GCCCAGGGUGCCCUCGGGGAGUUUGGCCAGCUCUGUGUCGCGCACCGCGUGCACCGUUGUGGCACGUGGCUGCCUGGUCAGCGCCUCCACCUAGGGGACAGCGUGCCUGACCAGGGCUGCGUGAGCCAGGAGCUUGAUAGCCAGCAAGAGCCGACGAAGACUGGCUACACAGGAGCAUGGCUGAGCUUAGAGCCUCUUUGCUUGUGCUGGGCAACUGCAUAGCUACAUGGAAAAGAAUAAAGUUGGAUUCUCACCUUAUGCCAUAUUAAGAUGGAUCAAAGACAUGAAUCUGAGAGCUUAAACUAUAAAACUUUUAGAAGAUGGGACUUCCCUGGUGGCGCAGUGGUUAAAAAUCCGCCUGCCAAUGCAGGGGACAGGGGUUCGAGCCCUGGUCCGGUAAGAUCCCACAUGCCGCCGAGCAACAAAGCCCGUGCACCACAACUAGUGAGCCCGCGUGCCACAACUACUGAAGCCUGCGUGCCUAGAGCCUGUGUUCGGCAACAAGAGAAGCCACCACAAUGAGAAGCCGGCGCACCACAACGAAGAGUAGCCCCCGCUCGCCACAACUAGAGAAAGCCCAUGCGCAGCAACAAAGACCCAACACAGCCAAAUACAUACAUACAUACAUACAUAAAACUCUUAGAAGAAAAUACAGGGGUCAAUCAUGGUCACACUGAAUUUGGCAACAGAAUCUUGGAUAUGAUACUAAAAGCCCAAGCAACAAAAUGAAAAAUAGAUAAACUGGAUUUCAACAAAAUUAAAAACUUUUGAGUUUCAAAGGGCACUAUCAAGGAAGUGAAAGGACAACACACCGUGUGGGAGAAAAUAUUUGCCAAUCAUAUAUCUGCUAAGGGUCUGGUAUCCAGAAUAUGUAAAGAAUUCUUACUACUCAGUACUAAAAAGACAACUCAAUUAAAAAAUGGGUAAGGGCUUCCCUGGUGGCACAGUGGUUAAGAAUCCACCUGCCAAUGCAGGUGACACGGGUUCGAGCCCUGGUCCGGGAAGAUCCCACAUGCCGCGGAGCUACUAAGCCCGUGCGCCACACCUACUGAGCCUGCGCUCUAGAGCCCGCGAGCCCCACUACUGAGCCCGCGUGCUACAGCUACUGAAGCCCGCGCCUAGAGCCAAUGCUCCACAACAAGAGAAGCCACUGCAAUGAGAAGCCCGCGCACUGCAAUGAAGAGUAGUCCCCGCUCUCCGCAACUAGAGAAAGCCUGCGUGCAGCAAGGAAGACCCACUGCAGCCAAAAAUAAAUAAAU